rnacentral:snRNA from 1 species
AUAUUCCGGUUUCUCUUCAGAUCGUAUAAAUCUUUCACCUUUUACUAAAGAUUUCCAUGGAGAGGAACAACUCUGAAUCUUAAAACAAUUAUUUGAGACCUUGUUUCAGCAAGGUU